rnacentral:rRNA from 1 species
CCUACGGGAGGCAGCAGUGGGGAAUAUUGCACAAUGGGCGCAAGCCUGAUGCAGCCAUGCCGCGUGUGUGAAGAAGGCCUUAGGGUUGUAAAGCACUUUCAGCGAGGAGGAAGGCGUUGCAGUUAAUAGCUGCAGCGAUUGACGUUACUCGCAGAAGAAGCACCGGCUAACUCCGUGCCAGCAGCCGCGGUAAU